ensembl:snoRNA SNORA63 Small nucleolar RNA SNORA63
CAGCAGGAUUUGGACUACCCUAUAGCUGUUCAGUACUGUGCUGUCAUUUCUGCCUGCUCAAAGCGAGGUGUUUUCUUAACUAUGUGUGUCUGCUAUAUUUGUGGCACCCAUGGCCUCAUACAU